rnacentral:lncRNA from 1 species
UUUAUUCUGCUUUUUCAUGUAAUUACUUGAAAAUAACAAAAUAAGAGAGAGAUAAAGAAAAGAAAAUGAACAUUGUUGGAGAGAAGUAAUCCAUUUGCAUUCUUUUAGAAAUUCAAAGUAUAGGGUGUGGUUCUCUCUUCCUCGCUUCCGUCCGCUAUCUGUUGUGUCAUGGCAAAGUUGGACAUCUAUCAGCCUUGCUGAAAAGGAAGCUUUAGCUAACAUAUGAACGUCGAUGGCUAA